GACGAACGCUGGCGGCGUGCUUAACACAUGCAAGUCGAACGGUGAAGCGCCUUCCUUUUUGGUGGGUGUGGAUGAGUGGCGAACGGGUGAGUAACACGUGAGUAACCUGCCCCCUUCUUCUGGAUAACCGCAUGAAAGUGUGGCUAAUACGGGAUAUUCUGGGUCUGUCGCAUGAUGGGUCUGGGAAAGAUAUUGUUUCGGUGGGGGAUGGGCUCGCGGCCUAUCAGCUUGUUGGUGGGGUGGUGGCCUACCAAGGCGGUGACGGGUAGCCGGCCUGAGAGGGUGGACGGUCACACUGGGAAUGAGACACGGCCCAGACUCCUACGGGAGGCAGCAGUGGGGAAUAUUGCACGAUGGGCGGAAGCAUGAUGCAGCGACGCCGCGGGAGGGAUGGAGGCCUUCGGGUUGUGAACCUCUUUCGCCAGUGAAGCAGGCCUGCCUCGUUUGUGGGUGGGUUGACGGUAGCUGGAUAAGAAGCGCCGGCUAACUACGUG
rnacentral:rRNA from 1 species